rnacentral:rRNA from 1 species
UACGUAGGGCGCAAGCGUUGUCCGGAAUUAUUGGGCGUAAAGAGCGUGUAGGCGGCCAUGUAGGUCCGUUGUGAAAACUCGAGGCUCAACCUCGAGACGUCGGUUGAAACCGUACGGCUAGAGUCCGGAAGAGGAGAGUGGAAUUCCCGGUGUAGCGGUGAAAUGCGCAGAUAUCGGGAAGAACACCCGUGGCGAAGGCGGCUCUCUGGGACGGUACUGACGCUGAGACGCGAAAGCGUGGGGAGCGAACAGG